rnacentral:lncRNA from 1 species
UUUUUCUCUCUCUGGAUUGAAGGGUUUACUGAGAGAGAGAGAGAGAGAGAGAGAGAGAGAGGUGGGCGCGCGCCGAUGGUGCAGGCGAGGUUGGGACGAUGUACCGGCGGGAUGAACUAGAUCGGUUUAGCUUUUAGCAUGGGGUGGGAAUCUUUGUGUGUGCUUGUUGGCGUUCUGUUCCCGGAGUGUCUUCACACGUGGCAUCGUGGGAGUCCAUCGCUGCCCCAUAAGAUUUUCCUGUCGAAAUACCCUAAAUGCCCUUCGACAUUGUUUUAAAAAAAUUUAAUGUGAAAGACUAUUUUGAGUUUAGUUCUGUUGUAUGUUUUUCGUUUUUAAUUUUUUAAAAAAUAAUAAAAUUAAUUUGGUUAAGGAUUUUCGAGACCUAAUUUUAGGAUUUUAUUUUUAAAAAAUAAACUAAAUUAUUUUCAUAAAUAAAAUAUAUAAAUGAUGAAUAUUUUUAUUUUUAAAUCUAUGAAUUUGAAAUAGAAUGUUGUUUGGGCUAAUGAUUUUCACAAUGAAGAUCGAGAAAAAAAAUAAUUGAUAUUAGAAUGUGUACAAAAAUAAAUCAUUUGCGAUAGGAUAUGAGAAGAAUUUUUUUUCUUUUUUUAUAUUUUGAUGGGUAAUAUUGACUUUAUUAAUAAUACGCAACUAAUCAUUAGCUCUCCAACCAUAUUGUAAUAGUAGUGACAGCGCAUCGAAGUUCAAUACUUCUUCACCUUAGAUUGAGCAAAUGUUCUAAUGUUUGAUGAUAAGAAAUAUAGCAAUCUAAACAUCAGAAGUGAUUGAGAUAAGAUAUCAAUUUAUGAAGUGGCAUUUAGAAUAGGAACAACAACAAAAAAAAUGUAACUCGGUGGAGCAUAUAACAUUUAGAGAGGAACAACAUGACCAAGUUUGCCAGAAACAAUCACACAGACAUUGCAAGAAGAAACCAGUUCCAUUUCAGGGAUAUUGGUAAAAUCAUAUAUUGCCUUGAAACUUCCAAAUGCUCGUUAGUUCUUUAAUGGGAGACCCAUAAGCUGGGGAGAAUCGAGCCGGGCCGGGCCUGAGAAUUAUGAGGCUCUAAGCGAGCCUCUAGCAUGCGGUCUUAUAAAGUUACUUAAAAAAGAAAUAAUAACUUACCAAAGGUAAACGAUUUAAUCAACAUCAACGUAAUAAACUCAUUUCUCCAAAUGCAACUCUACCACCAUGUUCAACAAUAUUCUUUAAAAACUCCUAAAUUAGAAAAAUAACUAUCCACCAGUUCGGGUUCUCUACUAAUAGAAUUAGUUUUUUGUCUAGACCUAAUUUUAAGAGCUAGUUCUACGUCAAAGUUUUGAAAGAUUAAAAGCAAUUACUUUGAGCUCUCCACUACUUAAAUUAGUUUCCUUAUAGGCUUGAUAUUAAUGGUUAGAUUUCGAUAGAAUAUUUCAAUGGAUAGCAAGAUAUAACUGUAAAUUUCAUUUAGAGGCUCGCUUAGGUAAAAAAUAUAUUCUUUAAAAAAUAUCACUGAAAUAAUAUGACCAUUUUAAAAAUAUUACGAUUAAAAAAACUGAAAAUAGAAUGAAUAAAAAGUAAAAAUAUAAUAUUCUAAUGAAAUAAAAUUAGAAUAGAAAGACUAAUGGAGUUAGUGUUAAAAACAUAAUUAACUAAAAUAGAAUUGGUGGAUUUUUAGUUAUAAUUUAGCGAGAUUGACGUGGAUGCUCUAAGUAGCAUGUGUCUUGGGGAAUAUUUUUUUAGUUUAUACCAUAUUAAUUUGGGAAAAGUCACUCAAAUCUGUAAAGGCUAAAAUGCCCUUACUUACACAAUUUUUUACAGCCAUACCCCUUUAUAAAUACAAAAUUAAUUUAAAUAAAAUAAAUCAACAUCACUAUUUAGAUUAAUUAUGUUUUUUUUUUUACAUAGAGUUUUUUUUUACUUUUGUGAUCCAUCUAAUCAAUACGAAUUAAAAAAAUUAAAUAAUUUUGAUCAAAAAAUUUAAAAAAAAACUCAAUAAGGACAAAAAUAAUAAAAAUACAAAUUGCUAAAAAGUCAAUAUCAUAAACUAUGCCAAGUUAAUGAUGUUUAUAAAUUAUAUGUAUUAAUAUGCGAAGUCACUAGGAAAAAAUAAACAUUCUUAUUUUUAAAUCCUUUAAAAAGGUUGAUGGCAAAAUGGACAACUUGAAACGAAAAAGUUAAUUUUCAACUUUAUAACAAAUAUUAAUGUUCAAUUUUAAUUCAAAAUCUUGCUUGCAUCAAGCAAGUUUAUCAACUUCUACUACAAUUUAGAAUCUAUAAUCCAAAACAGAAUCCUCAGCCAAGACCUAAAAGUUGAUUUCCACAACAAUAGAAAACAAUUCUACAAUGCCAAAAUAUAAAAAAAAAAAUAUUGACAAAAAAAAAUAUUUAAAAUAAAAAUAUUUAUCUAAAAAAUAUCACUUAUUUUUGGUUUAGAAAUAGAAGAUUGUCUAGUUCCUUUGGUCGUUCCACGUAGGAACUGCAAUAACGUUAUUUUAUUCAAAAAAAAUGAAAAAAAUAGACCUACAGCCGGAUGGAAACACGGCAAGAUAAAAAACUACAGAAAAUUAAUGCUCCGUUUGGAGAGAGAGAGUUGUAUAGAGAGAGAAAUCAAAAAAUGAAAUUAAUAAAAGGAAAGAAAAAUGGGAUUAUGAGAGUAGGGAGGCUCUAAAAUAAAAUAAUUAUUUCUCAUUAUUUGGGUUUUGAAAAGAGGCUAACGUAUAUUUGGUAUAUAAUUUUUUUUUAACAAAUUCAUGUGGCAAAAAAUGAGUCUGUUAAUUUUAUUUUUUUAUAAAACAUCUAUUAAAAUAAUUUUUUUAUAAAAAUAUCAUAUUUUAACAUUAUUCUUGUAGUCUUUUUAUAUAUGAAUUCUCUAUAAGAAUCUAUUUUUUUAAAAUAAAAUAAAAUCAAAAUGAGAAGAAAAAUAUUUUAUUUUAUUUGAAAUUAGAAGAAAGAUAAUUGUAAGAAAACUUAAAUAAACAAAGAGAAGAUAAAAAGAAUAUAAAGAGAAAAAAUUGUGAAAAGAAAAAUUGUGAAAUAAAAUUAAAUAAAUGAAAAGAAAAUAAUUUUUCACUUGAACCAAACUAGGAAAAAUGGAGAAAAAAUAUUAUUUUUUAUUUAUUUUAUAGAGUUUGAAACAAAGCCUUAAUCUUGGAAAAAAAUAAUUGAUUGAAAAAAUAUGAGCAAAAUGUAAGUUUUAUUUAGGUAGGUUUGGGGUAAGAAAAAAAUAAAAAUAAAAUUAACUUAUAGUUGUUUUAAGGUAAAAUGGGACAAAAAAUCACACACAAAAAAAACUCUCGUAUACUCACCGUAAAUAUAUUUACCCGAAACACACCAAAAAUAAAUAAUUUUUUUUAACAAAAACUACUACCUCUCCAAAAUUAACUUAUUGUUUUUUUAUUUUUGUCUUUAAUAGUUUUUAAAUUUUUGGUCAAAAUUUUCACUAUUCUAAUUUGUCUUGAUUUGAGAAAUUAAAAAAGAAUUUUUAAAGGUUAAGACGUAUUUUUUUUCUGAAAAAAAUAAAAAUAUUGAACUUUUGACCUUCAAUUGUAUUUUUGGACUCAAGAUAAAUGUGAAUUGAGACAAGUGGAAUAAGAUUGCACUUCAACCAAUACCAUAAUGGGCUCCAAUUAUUGGGCUAGGCAGGUAUACACUAGCAUUUGAAUUAAGCCCAGUUUAGGUGAUUGUUUUUUGGUUUCUUGAUUUUCAAGUUUUUUUUUUUAGCUGUUUAAUUAAAAUUUUAUAUUUUUCUGAAUCCUCUUAACAAUAAGAGUCUGAAAAUGUAUACAUUUUUAUCGAAAAAAAGUUCACUAAAGAUGGAAAAAAAAUUUAUCCAAAAUAAAAAAAUAAAAAAAAUAUUUUUAUCUUUAUUUAUUUUUUUUCAAAGUAUAUAAAAAAUUUUAUAUUUUCGCACUUCUCUCGUCAAGAGAUAUUAAAAAAUAUAAAAUUUUAAUUGAACAACAAAAAAAUUCAUUAAAAAAAACAUAAUUCAAACUAAGCCUUAGCUGUUUAGCUUCAAAGAAUCAUUAUUGCAAGUUGUCAAAAAAAUCAUUAAAAUAUAGAUAUAUUAAGAAUUAAUCGUGAAACUUGAGAAACAAAUAUGAUUUCAAAACUCUAGCUUUGUUUGGAAUUAGUCGUAGAGAGAGAGAAAAAUAAAAAAAGGAAAGUAGACUCAAUAAUAGUACAAUAAUUAUUUCCAUGUACUUAGUUUGGAAAAGAGAUUAACAUAAGUUUUAUGUGUAUUUUUUUUUACGAAUUGAUGUGGGAAAAUAUGAAUAUUUUUAUUUUUCAUAAAACGUCUAUUAAGUUGACUUUUAUUUAUCAAAAUAUCACAUUUAAACAUUAUUCUUGUGAUAGUUUUAUGUUUGAAUUAUAUAUAAGAAUAUAUUUUUUUAAAAGAAAAUAAAAGGAAAAAAAAUCUUAUUUGAAUUUAGAAGAGAAAAAUUUGUAAGAUAACUUAAAUAAACAAAAGAGAAUAAAAAAUUAUAUAAAGAGGAAAGAUUGUGAAAAUAAUUUUUAACUUGCUUUCGAUCCCAAGACUAUAAAUCAAACUAGGAAAAAUUAUAGAGGAAAAAAUAUUAAAUUUUAUUUAUUUUUUGGAUUUCAAACAAAACCUGUGUUGGAGAAAAGUCCGAAAAGCAAUUUGAUUAAAAAAAAUAUGAGCAAAAUACAAUUUUUAUUUAUUUUGAUUAGAAUAAUGAAAUUUGAUUGAAUUCAUGAUUUGGGCCCAGACAUAGAAAAAUGGAUUUUUUUUAAUUAUAUGUCUUCAAUAUUUUUUGUCAAAAUCUUUUACUAUUUUAAUUCGUGAUAAAUCGAAAAGUAUUUUUUUAAAGCCUUGAACCUUUGACCUUUAUUUUUUGAGCUCAAGAUAAAUGUGGAGUGAGAUUAGUAAAAUACAAGCAGCUAAUCAAGUCAAACACGAUUGAGCUCCAAUAAUUGGUCCAAGAAGGCAUACACUGGGAUUUGAAUUACUUGUUUAGUUUCAGAAAAUCACUUUUACAAGUUGUCAUUCAAAUCAUUAGAAUAUA